GGCCAACAUGGUGAACCCGUCUCUACUAAACAUAUAAAAAUUAGCCAGGCAUGGUGGUGGGUGCCUGUAAUCCCAGCUACUCAGGAGGCUGAGGCCGGAGAAUCGCUUGAACUUGGGAGACGGAGGUUGCAGUGAGCCGAGAUUGUGCCACUGCACUCCAGCCUGGGAGACAGAGCAAGACUCUGUCUCAAACCAAAACCAAAACCAAACAAAACUAACUGGUGGAGCAUGCGUCCCAGCCUGGGGACUACAAGGGGCAUGGCCUGGCUCUCACUUUUGCCCUUCCUUCCCCCGACCCAAGUCCCACCCAUGGGCCUGGGCUUGGCCACGCAGCACAAUUGAACAUUGAGUAACACACAGAUAGUGAAUAUCAGAGUUUACUUGUGGGUUGUGCAAGACAGGAGACCUUUGGAGACCCCUCUGUUAUUUCCUUGAGCCCCAGAAACUACCCAUGCCUACACCCCAAAAGCAGCAGCAGCAUGAGAACGAUUAACACACAUUGAGGACCUAUUGUGUGGGGGUCCCCGGAAUGCCUCACAUGAAGUCAUGUGUCUUGUCAGAGCCCUUGGAGACAGGGCCACUUCGUGUCCCCAUAUUACAGAUGAGGAAACUGAGGCACAAAGCAGCUAAGCCCUCAGCCAUGGGUCCACAGCCAGGAACCUGGGUCCAGCUCUCCAGCCGUGCCCCUGGCCCUGGGCUGCUCCAAGCUUGGCACACAUGGAUUUGAAAUGUUCACAGCCCGAGGGGGUGCAGUGGAUUUUGCAGAGUCUGAGACUUGCACAUCAGCAGCAUGGAGAUUAUGGGGUUCAGGUGAGAAUCCUGGCUCUGGUGCUCAGUCCUGGCCGUGGGCCCCCUGGUGAGUCACUGCCUCUCUUGGGGCCUCCGUUUCCUCAUCUGUGAAAUGGAUGGAGACACUUAGAGAAUCACUGCCUAAGCCCCCCGCUCCCCUUAUGCCUGUAACAGAAUCUCAUCCAUCUGGACAGCCACAUUUCCCAGCCUCCCCUGCAGCAAGGUAUGGCCAUUUCGCUCUGUUCUGGCCAGUGGGAUAUAAAAAGAAGGGUUUCGAGGCUUCCUGGGAAGACUUCCAGGAGACACCUAGCCAGCGCUGGCCUCUGACUUUCCCUCAGAAUGAGGAGGUGAAGGCUGGAGCUCUGGCAAUUAUUUUGUGCCACGAGGCAACCUUGAGGACAAAAGCCAAGGAUGCAAUAAAAUGAGAGA
rnacentral:lncRNA from 1 species